CCUACGGGUGGCAGCAGUGAGGAAUAUUGGUCAAUGGACGAAAGUCUGAACCAGCCAUGCCGCGUGCAGGAAGACGGCUCUAUGAGUUGUAAACUGCUUUUGUACAAGGGUAAACCUGAACACGUGUAUUCAGCUGAGAGUACUGUACGAAUAAGGAUCGGCUAACUCCGUGCCAGCAGCCGCGGUAAUACGGAGGAUCCAAGCGUUAUCCGGAUUUAUUGGGUUUAAAGGGUGCGUAGGCGGAUUGAUAAGCUAGAGGUGAAAUGUCCGGGCUCAACUCGGGAACUGCCUCUAGUACUGUUUAUCUAGAGAGUAGGUGCGGUAGGCGGAAUGUAUGGUGUAGCGGUGAAAUGCUUAGAGAUCAUACAGAACACCGAUUGCGAAGGCAGCUUACCAAUCUAUAUCUGACGUUGAGGCACGAAAGCGUGGGGAGCGAACAGGAUUAGAUACCCUUGUAGUC
rnacentral:rRNA from 1 species